AUGGUGGGGAGGCCGGGCCCAGGCAACCGGGGCGGGGCCCGGGCUCCAGGCCUGGCUGCAGGCGCUGCCCUCGGGGGCCUGGGGGCUCCCAAGGGGCUAGUCCGUGGCCUGGCAGUCGUGGCGGGGGUCCCUGCCCAGGCCCAGAGGAAGCACCUGCGGGUGCCCACCGGGUGGGCACUGCCCGCGGGGAACAGGCGGGACCGCAACUUCGGAGAGCACUUUGGCAGCGUGGGAAGGGGCCUCCCGCCUGGACGCCCCCCGGGGGUCGCAGGGGUAGGGGCGGCGCCGUGCCAGCGCACCCCUCGUUGGGCCAGGGUCCGGGAGACGCUCCCUCCGCCCGUGCACUUCGGGGCAGGAGACCCCGUGGGACGCGCCGAGGUGGGGGGACACCUGCCCCAAGACCCCCGCUCCUCCCCCCCCCAGAACGGCCCCGCCCCCGCCCAGGCCCCGCCCCUGCCGGCCCCGCCCCCGCCCCCCGCCCCGGGGGGUCCCGCCUGGCCCGGCCCGGCCCCGGCCUCCCCCUCCCCGUGCCGGCUCCGCCCCGCCCGCGGGCUCCCCAGGCCGGGCCGGGCCUCACCGGGGAGGCGGUGCCGCCGGCCAGGCGCCGGGGUUCGAAGCUCUCCUCUUCGGUGCGGCCGUCGCUGCCGCUACCGCCGCUGCUGCUCCCGGUGCCGGUGCCGCGGCCUCCGCAGCCGCCGCCGCCUCCACCGCUCGGGGGACAUUGUCCCUUUAAAUCGCUCCCCCCGCCGCCCCGCCCCCCCGGCGCGCCGCCGUGACCUCAGCGCGACAGCCCCGCCGCGCCGCCAUGAUGGGGAGGUCCAGGCCCCCCACCCCACCCCCCCCCCGCGCCGCCCGGGGGGGGGGUCGGUCAGCGGGCGCGCCGCCAUGUUGGGAGUGGCCAGGCAGGUCACCCUUAAAGGGGCCGCGCGGCCUGAGAGUCCAGGGAGGGUCUGUUUCCAUGACAACACACUUGUCCCCCUGCCCCCAAUAGCUCCUCAUCACCCUACUGGUUCUUCCAAUGCUAGGCCUACUAAUAGCACCAUAAGAGUGAGGAGGAGGCAGAGAAGUUCCCCCAUGGGUCAUUUAUAG
rnacentral:lncRNA from 1 species